rnacentral:rRNA from 1 species
GACGAACGCUGGCGGCGUGCUUAACACAUGCAAGUCGAACGAAAAGGCGCGGCGUUUGUGGGGUUGUCGAGUGGCGAGCGGGGGAGUGACACGUGAGUAACCUGCCCCUAACAGUGGGAUAACUUCAGGGAAAUGGGGCGAAUAUCCGAGAGGAUCUACUGCUGCGUGUGGUGGGUUGGUGAAAGUCGGCUGUUGGGGAUGGACUCGCGGCUUAUCAGCUUGUUGGUGGGGUAGUGGCGGACCAAGGCUUUGACGGGUAGCCCGCGUGAGAGGGUGAACGGCCACAAUGGGCCUGAGAUACGGAGCAGACUCCUACGGGAGGCAGCAGUCGGGAAUAUUGCAGAGUGGGCGGAAGCCUGAGACAGCAAUGCCGCGUGCGGGAUGCCGGCUUUCGGGUUGUAAACAGCUUUCGCCUGUGACGAACAGUGCGUGACGGUAAUGGGUAAAGAAGCACCGGCUAACUACGUG